GGGGAAUAAAAUUGUAAAGGAAAAGGGGGGAGGAGAAAGAUGCCUCUAUACGAUUGUAUGCUGUUAUUGAAGCCCCACAUCAAGAAGGAGCAGUUGAUGAACUUGAUUUUUCGAGUAGGAAAACAGUUCAUUGAGGAAUGGUGUUCUUACUGAAAUAAAAUCAUUUGGAACUGUUCAGUUGGGUUACGGUAUCAAGAAGCUAGAUGGGAGAUACUAUCAGGUGCUUGUUUAUUUUCUGUCAAAUGUUUUCUCCGGUCAUCGUUUUUGGGCCUCCCUUGCUCUUUGAUAUUCCUUCGUUGCUUUCGUUUGGUUAUUAUACUACAUAAUGUGAUUUGUUAAUAUUUAUAGAUUAUAGAUGAUGAGAAAAUGGGGGAAAAAAGGCAAAUAAGUUUUAAGUAUGAGUUGCCCAAAAUUGACACCCUUAUAUAAGACAAAUGUGAUACCGGCGUCCAGCUGCUCGAAGUCCUUUGCCUCAAGCAUGCGGACUCAAUCUGUGUACUUAACCAACAAACCAAAAUAAAUUCAGGGCUCACACCAAAAGAACAUCCGUCAAUUUGAAGAAAUGGUUAAGAAUUCCUGUGCAUAAACUAGUUGAGAACACAAGUUGGUACAAUUAUAAUUCUCCACUUGAACCACACAUGGAAAUAAUGACCGGUAUGAACUUAUGCUUUGUGCAGAAGUUUUCAAAAGAACAGCAACAGCCAAAGCAAGUCUGCAUGAUUUAGAAUAUCAGAAAGGAGUGGCUUUCCUAGUAGAAGCCUCCUUUCUUAUAUCAGGAGACUAUAUAUGUGUUAUCACUUAUGUGGGUAGAACCUUCUUUGUGAAAUGCUUUCUAACUUGCAACUUGGAUUUUAUGGACUCUCAAUUUGAUGCCAGUUAGAUGUAGUGGUACCCGCAUGGUUGGUGAUUUCAAUGAUCCUAAUGAUAAAUCUGACUCGUGACAUCUGCCAAGUGCCAACAUUUACUGAUAAAGAAAGACAUCUGCCAACAUUUGAAAUGUGUGUGUGUGUGUGACUGUGCUUGUAGAUCUUUUAGAGGAUGGUGAUCCGCAACAGUUUCUGUGAUAUUAUCUGUCUAUAGCAAACAGAAUUUUUCCAAAUGACUGCAUUCUUGUGAUUUUUGGAAAGGAGAGAAAAAUGUUGUUACAAAAGCUGUUCACUUUGUACAGGGCCACCAAUUGAUACAAAUGACUAUGAUGACUACUCCGAACUUCAACAAGGAACUACAUUACCUAAACAAGGAAGAUCGGCUCCUUCGGUGGCUUUUAGCGAACCACAAAAAUACCAAAUAUCAAAUGAAUUGUGAUCUAAGCGCCAGUUUUUGGAGAUAAUGACUUUAGCUACUUCCCCAGGAGCAACAGCUGCGAUGACAAUGGCAUUGACGAGACUGACGGUAAUGAUGAAGAAUAUAAUGAGGAGGGAGAGGAAACUCAAACAGAUUAGACUGGUAAUGAGACAGUUGUCGAGCUUACAUUCAUGAUUAUUUAUUUUUAUUUUUUUAAGGACUUACACUCAUGAUUACAGUGCCUUCUAUUUUGAUGAUUAAACGUGACAUGGUUUUUUUGUUCUGUUU
rnacentral:lncRNA from 1 species